AAGUGGUUUUAGCUUCAAGCCAGCUGACAUGUCAUCUUGAUUAAUGGGUGGCUUGUGGCUAAAACUGAUUUUUAGAACCAUCCAUGAUGGCCAAUAAUAGCUAUGAGAUCCGAGGGACUUU
rnacentral:sRNA from 1 species